rnacentral:misc_RNA from 1 species
UACGGAGGGUGCAAGCGUUAAUCGGAAUUACUGGGCGUAAAGCGGGUGUAGGCGGCCAUGCCAGUCGGAUGUGAAAGCCCUGGGCUCAACCCAGGAAGUGCAUCCGAUACUGCGUGGCUUGAGUACUGGAGAGGGAAGUGGAACUCCUGGUGUAGCGGUGAAAUGCGUAGAUAUCAGGAGGAACAUCGGUGGCGAAGGCGGCUUCCUGGCCAUGUACUGACGCUGAGGCGCGAAAGCGUGGGGAGCAAACAGG